rnacentral:rRNA from 1 species
CCUACGGGGGGCAGCAGUGGGGAAUAUUGGGCAAUGGGCGCAAGCCUGACCCAGCAACGCCGCGUGAAGGAAGAAGGCUUUCGGGUUGUAAACUUCUUUUAAGAGGGAAGAGCAGAAGACGGUACCUCUUGAAUAAGCCACGGCUAACUACGUGCCAGCAGCCGCGGUAAUACGUAGGUGGCAAGCGUUGUCCGGAUUUACUGGGUGUAAAGGGCGUGCAGCCGGGAAGACAAGUCAGAUGUGAAAUCCCGCGGCUCAACCGCGGAACUGCAUUUGAAACUGUUUUGCUGGAGUAUGGGAGGGGUAAGCGGAAUUCCUGGUGUAGCGGUGAAAUGCGUAGAUAUCAGGAGGAACACCGGUGGCGAAGGCGGCUUACUGGACCAUAACUGACGUUGAGGCUCGAAAGCGUGGGGAGCGAACAGGAUUAGAUACCCCAGUAGUC